rnacentral:tRNA from 1 species
GCAGUCGUGGCGGAGUGAUUAAGGCGAUGGACUAGAAAUUCAUUGGGGUCUCCCCGCACAGGUUCGAAUCCUGUCGACUGCG